UCCCCUUUUCAUCAACUGAACAGCCCCCUCGUCGAUUGAACAUAGCUCCCCCUCAUCUACUUAGGAGCGAGUUGAUUGUGGAAAUUGAAAGGAAAACAUUAUUUUGGGGAUUUGGGUUGGAAAAAAAUGGUGAAAAGAUUUAGAUAGUGCGGAGGACGGAGGUGGAGAGAUGGUGAGCAGUCGGGCAAUGGUUAUUUCGGCCAUCGGCAAUGUGACGGAGUAUAGAAUAGUGAAAUUUGUUUGAAAUUAAA
rnacentral:lncRNA from 1 species